AUAAAAACAGAGAAAUGUGUCAAAGUUUAAAAAAAUUAAAUUGAAAACAAACAAAAAAAUAUCAAACUUUUACGGGAAUUUAAUCGUAGAAAGAGAAAGUAAAAAUUGUAUUUGAUUAAAAUUGUAGAGAAAAUUUUUAAAAUUUUGAAUUAUGAAAGAAAUAUUCAACAAUUUUACAAAAACAAAUUUAUAAGAAAAAAUGAUGAAUUAAAUUACAACAGCAUCGCUUCUCUCCUUAAGAGUUUUAUGACUUUAUACUGAAAUAUGAUUUUUUUUCUUUGAUGGAGGCUCUAAGACUCUGCCAAACAUUUUGGCGUCUAAAUUCUAUGUUUUUUUUCUUUUCUUUUUAACUUAACUUUCCUUUUCUUUCUGCUUGUUUCUGUUAGUCAAACCAAACAGCUCUGGCUCCGCCUCUCAUUGAUGCCGUGUGGCACUAAUGUCAUUUCCACAAUAAGAGGAUAUGGCAGAGAAACAGGAAGGACGUUAUGGGCAGGUUGCUCUCCUGGCAGGCCUGCCCCGGGUGCCAGUUGGCCUUGCACGCCGAGCAGAACUCUAGAGUGCAGACGGAGCAUCGGACCAACUGCGGCAGGGCUGGAGACUCCGCCUCCUUUACCUGGCAGACGGCCUGACAGGAGGAAGACGGGCACCACGUCCGGCACGGGUCCAGAAGAACCUCUGACGGCA